rnacentral:rRNA from 1 species
AUUGAACGCUGGCGGCAUGCCUUACACAUGCAAGUCGAACGGUAACGCGGGGCAACCUGGCGACGAGUGGCGAACGGGUGAGUAAAGCAUCGGAACGUGCCCAGUAGUGGGGGAUAGCCCGGCGAAAGCCGGAUUAAUACCGCAUACGACCUAAGGGUGAAAGGGGGGGAUCGCAAGACCUCUCGCUAUUGGAGCGGCCGAUGUCAGAUUAGCUAGUUGGUGGGGUAAAAGCUCACCAAGGCGACGAUCUGUAGCUGGUCUGAGAGGACGACCAGCCACACUGGGACUGAGACACGGCCCAGACUCCUACGGGAGGCAGCAGUGGGGAAUUUUGGACAAUGGACGAAAGUCUGAUCCAGCCAUGCCGCGUGCGGGAAGAAGGCCUUCGGGUUGUAAACCGCUUUUGUCAGGGAAGAAAUCCUUUGAGCUAAUACCUCGGGGGGAUGACGGUACCUGAAGAAUAAGCACCGGCUAACUACGUGCCAGCAGCCGCAGUAA